rnacentral:rRNA from 1 species
CAGCCGCCACGGUAAUACGUAGGGGGCGAGCGUUGUCCGAAGUUACUGGGCGUAAAGAGCGCGUAGGCUGGUCUUUAAGUGAGUGGUGAAAGGUUCGGGCUCAACCCGGACACUGCCUUUCAUACUGGGGACCUUGAGUGUGGGAGAGGCGAGUGGAAUGGUCGGUGUAGCGGUGAAAUGCGUAGAUAUCGAUCGGAACACCCAUGGCGAAGGCAGCUCGCUGGCCUAACACUGACGCUGAGGCGCGAAAGCGUGGGGAGCAAACAGGAUUAGAUACCCGCGUAGUCCCUGUCUCUUAUAC